rnacentral:rRNA from 1 species
GGGCAGCAUGUCCAGCAAUGGAUGAUGGCGACCGGCGUAAGGGUGCGUAACGCGUGAGCAACAUGCCCUAUACAGGAGGAUACUCCGGGGAAACCCGGUCUAAUACUCCAUAGUAUUAUUGAGAGGCAUCUCUUAAUAAUUAAAGCUUCGGUGGUAUAGGAUUGGCUCGCGUGACAUUAGCCAGAUGGUGAGGUAACGGCUCACCAUAGCAACGAUGUCUAGGGGUUUUGAGAGGAAGGCCCCCCACACUGGGACUGAGACACGGCCCAGACUCCUACGGGAGGCAGCAGUGAGGAAUAUUGGACAAUGGAUGGAAAUCUGAUCCAGUCAUGCCGCGUGCAGGAAGACUGCCUUAUGGGUUGUAAACUGCUUUUAUACGGGAGCAAUAAGGGUUACGUGUAGCCUGAUGAGAGUACUGUAUGAAUAA